rnacentral:rRNA from 1 species
GGGGAAUCUUCCGCAAUGGGGGCAACCCUGACGGAGCAAUACCGCGUGGGGGAGGAAGGCUUUUGGGUCGUAAACCUCUUUUCUCAGGGAAGAACACUGACGGUACCUGAGGAAUCAGCAUCGGCUAACUCCGUGCCAGCAGCCGCGGUAAUACGGAGGAUGCAAGCGUUAUCCGGAAUCAUUGGGCGUAAAGCGUCCGCAGGUGGCUUUUCAAGUCUGCUGUCAAAGCCCGGGGCUCAACCCUGGAGAGGCAGUGGAAACUGAGGAGCUGGAGUGCGGUAGGGGCAGAGGGAAUUCCCGGUGUAGCGGUGAAAUGCGUAGAUAUCGGGAAGAACACCAGUGGCGAAAGCGCUCUGCUGGACCGCAACUGACACUUAUGGACGAAAGCUAGGGGAGCGAAAGGGAUUAGAUACCCCUGUA